AUUGAACGCUGGCGGCAUGCCUUACACAUGCAAGUCGAACGGCAGCGGACCUUCGGGUGCCGGCGAGUGGCGAACGGGUGAGUAAUAUAUCGGAACGUACCUUUCAGUGGGGGAUAACGUAGCGAAAGUUACGCUAAUACCGCAUAUUCUGUGAGCAGGAAAGCAGGGGAUCGCAAGACCUUGCGCUGAUUGAGCGGCCGAUAUCAGAUUAGCUAGUUGGUGAGGUAAAGGCUCACCAAGGCGACGAUCUGUAGCGGGUCUGAGAGGAUGAUCCGCCACACUGGAACUGAGACACGGUCCAGACUCCUACGGGAGGCAGCAGUGGGGAAUUUUGGACAAUGGGCGCAAGCCUGAUCCAGCCAUGCCGCGUGAGUGAAGAAGGCCUCGGUUGUAAGACUCUUUGUUUGGU
rnacentral:rRNA from 1 species